CAGCAGCCGCGGGAAAACGAAGGGUGCAAGCGUUAAUCGGAAUUACUGGGCGUAAAGCGCGCGUAGGUGGUUCAGCAAGUUGGAUGUGAAAUCCCCGGGCUCAACCUGGGAACUGCAUCCAAAACUACUGAGCUAGAGUACGGUAGAGGGUGGUGGAAUUUCCUGUGUAGCGGUGAAAUGCGUAGAUAUAGGAAGGAACACCAGUGGCGAAGGCGACCACCUGGACUGAUACUGACACUGAGGUGCGAAAGCGUGGGGAGCAAACAGGAUUAGAUACCCCGGUAGUCCCUGUCUCUUAUAC
rnacentral:rRNA from 1 species